rnacentral:rRNA from 1 species
CCCUUAGAUGUUCUGGGCCGCACGCGUGCUACACUGAGUGGAUCAGCGGGUCAGGUUGCGCGAAAGUGUUUCCUAAUCUUGAAAUCCGCUCGUGAUGGGGAUUGACGGCUGCAAUUUUCCGUCAUGAACGAGGAAUACCUUGUAAGCGCGGGUCAUCAUCCCGCGCUGAAUACGUCCCUGCCCUUUGUACACACCGCCCGUCGCACCUACCGAUUGAAUGGUCCGGUGAAGUCUUCGGACUGGCAGCAUGUAUGUGCUUGCCGGGAAGUUGAGUAAACCUUACCAUUUAGAGGAAGGUGAAGUCGUAACA